AGCUCCAGUAGCGUAUAUGAAAGUUGUUGCGGUUUAAAAGCUCGUAGUUGGAUUUCUGCCGAGGACGACCGGUCCGCCCUCUGGGUGAGUAUCUGGCUUGGCCUUGGCAUCUUCUUGGAGAACGUAGCUGCACUUGACUGUGUGGUGCGGUAUCCACGACUUUUACUUUGAGGAAAUUAUAGUGUUUCAAGCAAGCAUACGCCUUGAAUACAUUAGCAUGGAAUAAUAAGAUAGGACCUUGGUUCUAUGUUGUUGGUUUCUAAAGCUGAGGUAAUGAUUAAUAGGGAUAAUUGGGGGGCAUUCGUAUUUAACUGUCAGAGGUGAAAUUAUUGGAUUUGUUAAAGACGGACUACCGCGAAAGCAUUUGCCAAGGAUGUUUUCA
rnacentral:rRNA from 1 species